GUAGACAUGUUCAUAUGGAGGUGAGCUAUCUUUCUAAGAUAUAUCUCUUCUUCGAAGUAGGGGACUUGAAUACUAGAGCGUGACAUCAUACUGAAUUGUUUCGUUAGAAAAUGGUUUUACUGGCUAGAACUUCAUUCUUGAUCAUUCUGAGAAUAUCCAAACAGUACAUAAUCGUGAUAUUUUAGUUUCUUUUACCGUUGUUGAUUGUUGAUUGUUGAUUGUUAUUCGUUGCCGUUGGUAAUUUAAUAGUGGACAUAUUUGUAUCUGCA